UACAGAGGUCUCAAGCGUUGUUCGGAUUCAUUGGGCGUAAAGGGUGCGUAGGUGGCGCGGUAAGUCGGGUGUGAAAUUUCGGAGCUUAACUCCGAAACUGCAUUCGAUACUGCCGUGCUUGAGGACUGGAGAGGAGACUGGAAUUUACGGUGGUAGCAGUGAAAUGCGUAGAGAUCGUAAGGAAGACCAGUGGCGAAAGGCGGGUCUCUGGACAGUUACUGACACUGAGGCACGAAGGCCAGGGGAGACAAACGGG
rnacentral:rRNA from 1 species